ensembl:lncRNA
AAAAACCAGAACUGAACCACCCUAAGCAGAAUUUACAAAACUGACAGUGUUCUUCUGAUAGUAAAUGAGCUGCCUUCCACACUCUUCUUGGACAGCGUUGGGCGGGGCUGGUCUCCUGAGUCUCCCAAUGGAGAGACGUUCGCUGGCGCUGGGAGUGGGAGCCCUGCCUCGAGCGCCAGGCACACCCCAGCCAGGGCUCCCAGAAGAGGGAACACACUUCUCUUUGGCUCCCUUUCUCCCGCCCAGAUGGCGUAGCUCAUGAACCGCAGCCUCCGAUGCCGACUUGUGGAACGCAGGGUGAGGGAGGCUAAAGGAGCCACCUGCUGCCCACUUAUUUCUCGGUAAAGAGCUGACUUCAGUUUGAAACCAACGCCCCACAUGGAUCCUGAGUGCAGAUGAACGUGGCCCCUGGCUCUGGUGCCAUGAGGUAACCUCUGAAACCGGAAGGAAACAGUGCCAGACCGAAGUGUUUCUUCUCCUGGUUGGUUCAUCCUUAUUCCAACAAAAGAUGAAAGGAAGGGCUUGGGUGAGGAACAGGAGGCAGAGCCUGCAGAUUCCUUCUGCACAAAGCUGAGGAGCAGCUGGCUGUCUCCUGCGUGUCCCCUGCCCGGUCUUCCUUCCUGCUCUCCAUUCAGCACCAGCUGAGCACUCAGGAAGACCUAGCGUUGAGCAGGGACAGCUGCUGUCCUAGCGGGGCCUGGCUCACCAUAUGGGGGUCCUCCAGGCCAGGCUGGGGUGCAGCAGACACGAGGCUCCUGGGGUGGUGGCACUGCACCAGGGGACCUGGUGAGAAGGUGAUGCUGGCUUGGCUGGACACUGUCAGGAGAUCUUCACCACACCACCACACCAUCUGUCUGGUGUCACCCUGAGUUGUCUGAGCCUUGGUCUGUGUCUUCAGGGAUGCUGGUGCUGAAGCUGAAAGGACAGAGUCACAGAGAAGCCCCUUCCUGACUCUCUGUUUCCUGGCGCUGCCAUGAGGUGAGCAGUUUCCUCUGCCGUGGUUCCACCAUGAUGGACUAUACCAUGAUAGACUCUGCCAUGAUGGACCCCGCCAUGAUGGACCCCACCAUGAUGGACCCUGCCAUGAUGGAUUCUGCCAUGAUGGACUCUACACGAUAGACCCUGCCAUGAUGGAUUCUGCCAUGAUGGACUCUACAUGAUAGACCCUGCCUUGAUGGAUUAUGCCAUGAUGGACAGAGCCACCGCAGGCCAGAGCAACAGGGCCCAGUGACCAUACCUCAGAAACUAUGACCAACCAACUGUCCUUCCCAGCUGACUCUCAGGCAUGGUCACAGCUGGAUAGGUGACUGCGAGGUCUUAGGUCCCUCCUAGGGGCUGAGUUUCCCUGCAGGCCCUGCACAGGUGUCCAGCAACUGAAGGAGGAACCCCAGCCAUCAAUCAGUCUGUCACACUUCCUGUUGAUGUCGUAGUUUUAGCUACUGAAAUAUUCAUGUGUUUGGCGAAUGCUUUAGGCUGAGGGUCGGGACAUUAGCUGAGAUGGAUGGUCUUGGGAGUAGGCACUGAGCACCCACAUAAGCGACUUGGCUGCCAGCUGUCGUUAGGUUCCAAGCCCUUGCUGUCCCUCGCCCCGCAGUCCUAGGUACACGGUAUGGAUGGGGGCAGAGCUGGAUGCAAAUCGAUACGAUCAGCUUUCAAGGGAACUGGAAGUGUAGAGGGUACACCUUUAAAACUUCGAUUUUUCUCUUAACGGGAAAUAGCUUUAUUAUCUUAGGCCUAUGUCAGCAGAUAUAAUUUCUAGUUUUUAAAAACACAUUUUAAAAUCCUAUACAAUCAAUUCAUUUUUGUGGAGAAAAAUCUUGGGUGUAGAGACGAGAGAAGGUGAAAAGAACUGCCUGAGGUUGUUCUACUCCAAUGUGUCAUUUGAGAUACUUUGAUUUUUUUUUUCCCUGCAAUAAAUUUCUUUCACAUGAAGCUUACUGGUUCUUUAUGAUGCUGGUCCUCAUGCAUUGUUUGUGCCCUAAGUCUCUUCUUUUUCACUCUUGAUUAUGUCAUAGCACUUGGCCUCCAUUUUCAGCUAGUUUAUUGAGUGCUCGCUGUGUAGCAGGGACUCUUCAGCCAGUUGCGCAAGUCGAUGUGCUUAUGCAUCGCCACAGUCCUAGCAGGAGAGCUUUACCAGCUGUGGGUCUCAGACAAGGCAACAGGCACGGAGACGUUUGCAGAGCUCGCCAAGUCUGGACAGGAGCAGUAACAGAGCAGGAUUUGCACCAGGGCCAGCUGGAGCGGGCACAGACUCUAAUAAUUAGCAAUAUGCUUCAAGGCUUAAUAUUUAUUUUAAUCAGAGGCAUUGGCAAUUUUCAUGUCUAAUCUUGUCACAUUAAUGUUUACACGGCCUUCGCCUAGUGAGGAGCAGGGCUUCUAAGAGGAACCGAGUGUGUGUUCUGGCGUGUGAUUGAUUAUGAUCUGGAUGGCGGCUCCCAGUGCUGCUGUGAAGGCGACGCCCGCUGCUGCCUGCCCACCUGCACCUCCUCACCUGGCCAGAGGAGGCAUCUGUGGCCUGUGUGGGGGUCCUGCUCACUGUCUCUUGCCUUGUCUGUCCUUCUUCAGGGGGACACACAGGCUCCUUCUCUAGUGCCG